GAAAUGCGAUAAGUAGUGUGAAUUGCAGAAUUCAGUGAAUCAUCGAAUCUUUGAACGCACAUUGCGCCCCUCGGUAUUCCGUGGGGCAUGCCUGUUCGAGCGUCAUCUACACCCUCAAGCUCUGCUUGGUGUUGGGCGUCUGUCCCGCCUCCUUCGCGCGCGGACUCGCCCCAAAUCCAUUGGCGGCGGCCCUUGCCUCCCUCUCGCGCAGCACAUUGCGCUUCUCGAGGCGCGGCGGACUGCGUCCAGCAAGCAACCGUCACACCGUCUUUGACCUCGGAUCAGGUAGGGAUACCCGCUGAACUUAAGC
rnacentral:misc_RNA from 1 species